GACGAACGCUGGCGGCGUGCUUAACACAUGCAAGUCGAACGGAAAGGCCCCUUUGGGGGUACUCGAGUGGCGAACGGGUGAGUAACACGUGAGUAACCUGCCCUUGACUUCGGGAUAACUUCAGGAAACUGGGGCUAAUACCGGAUAGGAAUCCUUGCUGCAUGGUGGGGGUUGGAAAGCUUCGGCGGUUUUGGAUGGACUCGCGGCGUAUCAGCUUGUUGGUGGGGUAGUGGCUUACCAAGGCUUUGACGGGUAGCCGGCCUGAGAGGGCGACCGGCCACAUUGGGACUGAGAUGCGGCCCAGACUCCUACGGGAGGCAGCAGUGGGGAAGAUUGCACAAUGGGCGGAAGCCUGAUGCAGCAACGCCGCGGGCGGGAUGACGGCCUUCGGGUUGUAAACCGCUUUCAGCAGGGGCGAAGCUUGUGGUGACGGUACCUGCAGAAGAAGCACCGGCUAACUACGUG
rnacentral:rRNA from 1 species